AUUGAACGCUGGCGGCAGGCCUAACACAUGCAAGUCGAGCGGAUGAAGAGAGCUUGCUCUCUGAUUCAGCGGCGGACGGGUGAGUAAUGCCUAGGAAUCUGCCUGGUAGUGGGGGACAACGUUUCGAAAGGAACGCUAAUACCGCAUACGUCCUACGGGAGAAAGCAGGGGACCUUCGGGCCUUGCUCUAUCAGAUGAGCCUAGGUCGGAUUAGCUAGUUGGUGAGGUAAUGGCUCACCAAGGCGACGAUCCGUAACUGGUCUGAGAGGAUGAUCAGUCACACUGGAACUGAGACACGGUCCAGACUCCUACGGGAGGCAGCAGUGGGGAAUAUUGGACAAUGGGCGAAAGCCUGAUCCAGCCAUGCCGCGUGUGUGAAGAAGGUCUUCGGAUUGUAAAGCACUUUAAGUUGGGAGGAAGGGCAGUAAGUUAAUACCUUGCUGUUUUGACGUUACCGACAGAAUAAGCACCGGCUAACUCUGUGCCAGCAGCCGCGGUAAUAC
rnacentral:rRNA from 1 species